rnacentral:tRNA from 1 species
CAGAUAUUAGUUUAAUUAAAAUAUUAAUUUUGGAGAUUAAUGAUGAAAAAUUUUUUAUAUCUGA